rnacentral:rRNA from 1 species
GGUUAAGCGACUAAGCGUACACGGUGGAUGCCCUGGCAGUCAGAGGCGAUGAAGGACGUGCUAAUCUGCGAAAAGCGUCGGUAAGGUGAUAUGAACCGUUAUAACCGGCGAUGUCCGAAUGGGGAAACCCAGUGCAAUUCGUUGCACUAUCGUUAACUGAAUACAUAGGUUAACGAGGCGAACCGGGGGAACUGAAACAUCUAAGUACCCCGAGGAAAAGAAAUCAACCGAGAUUCCCCCAGUAGCGGCGAGCGAACGGGGAGCAGCCCGGAGUCUGAAUCAGCUUGUGUGUUAGUGGAAGCGUCUGGAAAGUCGCAGGGUACAGGGUGAUACUCCCGUACACUAAAACACACAGGCUGUGAACUCGAAGAGUAGGGCGGGACACGUGGUAUCCUGUCUGAAUAUGGGGGGACCAUCCUCCAAGGCUAAAUACUCCUGACUGACCGAUAGUGAACCAGUACCGUGAGGGAAAGGCGAAAAGAACCCCGGCGAGGGGAGUGAAAAAGAACCUGAAACCGUGUACGUACAAGCAGUAGGAGCCCCACCACCAAAGCGUUUCGCUUUGCGUGGUGCGCAAAAUGCGUAACGACAGCAUGAUGGACGGUUAACGGAGCGUCAGCGACGUUCAACCUCAAAAAUCAGGCAGUGGAGCGUUUUGGGGUGGGGUGACUGCGUACCUUUUGUAUAAUGGGUCAGCGACUUAUAUUCUGUAGCAAGGUUAACCGUAUAGGGGAGCCGCAGGGAAACCGAGUCUUAACUGGGCGUUAAGUUGCAGGGUAUAGACCCGAAACCCGGUGAUCUAGCCAUGGGCAGGUUGAAGGUUGGGUAACACUAACUGGAGGACCGAACCGACUAAUGUUGAAAAAUUAGCGGAUGACUUGUGGCUGGGGGUGAAAGGCCAAUCAAACCGGGAGAUAGCUGGUUCUCCCCGAAAGCUAUUUAGGUAGCGCCUCGUGAACUCAUCUUCGGGGGUAGAGCACUGUUUCGGCUAGGGGGUCAUCCCGACUUACCAACCCGAUGCAAACUACGAAUACCGAAGAAUGUUAUCACGGGAGACACACGGCGGGUGCUAACGUCCGUCGUGAAGAGGGAAACAACCCAGACCGCCAGCUAAGGUCCCAAAGUCAUGGUUAAGUGGGAAACGAUGUGGGAAGGCCCAGACAGCCAGGAUGUUGGCUUAGAAGCAGCCAUCAUUUAAAGAAAGCGUAAUAGCUCACUGGUCGAGUCGGCCUGCGCGGAAGAUGUAACGGGGCUAAACCAUGCACCGAAGCUGCGGCAGCGACACUAUGUGUUGUUGGGUAGGGGAGCGUUCUGUAAGCCGUUGAAGGUGGCCUGUGAGGGUUGCUGGAGGUAUCAGAAGUGCGAAUGCUGACAUAAGUAACGAUAAUGCGGGUGAAAAACCCGCACGCCGGAAGACCAAGGGUUCCUGUCCAACGUUAAUCGGGGCAGGGUGAGUCGACCCCUAAGGCGAGGCCGAAAGGCGUAGUCGAUGGGAAACAGGUUAAUAUUCCUGUACUUGGUGUUACUGCGAAGGGGGGACGGAGAAGGCUAUGUUGGCCGGGCGACGGUUGUCCCGGUUUAAGCAUGUAGGCGGAUGUUCCAGGUAAAUCCGGAACGUCACUAACGCUGAGGUGUGAUGACGAGGCACUACGGUGCUGAAGUGACAAAUGCCCUGCUUCCAGGAAAAGCCUCUAAGCAUCAGGUAACAUCAAAUCGUACCCCAAACCGACACAGGUGGUCAGGUAGAGAAUACCAAGGCGCUUGAGAGAACUCGGGUGAAGGAACUAGGCAAAAUGGUGCCGUAACUUCGGGAGAAGGCACGCUGAUGGUAAGUGAAGUGACUUGCUCAUGGAGCUGAAAUCAGUCGAAGAUACCAGCUGGCUGCAACUGUUUAUUAAAAACACAGCACUGUGCAAACACGAAAGUGGACGUAUACGGUGUGACGCCUGCCCGGUGCCGGAAGGUUAAUUGAUGGGGUUAUCCUCGCGGAGAAGCUCUUGAUCGAAGCCCCGGUAAACGGCGGCCGUAACUAUAACGGUCCUAAGGUAGCGAAAUUCCUUGUCGGGUAAGUUCCGACCUGCACGAAUGGCGUAAUGAUGGCCAGGCUGUCUCCACCCGAGACUCAGUGAAAUUGAACUCGCUGUGAAGAUGCAGUGUACCCGCGGCAAGACGGAAAGACCCCGUGAACCUUUACUAUAGCUUGACACUGAACACUGGUCCUUGAUGUGUAGGAUAGGUGGGAGGCUUUGAAGUGUGGACGCCAGUCUGCAUGGAGCCAUCCUUGAAAUACCACCCUUUAAUGGCUGGUGUUCUAACGUGGGCCCCUAAUCGGGGUUGCGGACAGUGUCUGGUGGGUAGUUUGACUGGGGCGGUCUCCUCCUAAAGAGUAACGGAGGAGCACGAAGGUCAGCUAAUCCUGGUCGGACAUCAGGAGGUUAGUGCAAUGGCAUAAGCUGGCUUGACUGCGAGCGUGACGGCGCGAGCAGGUGCGAAAGCAGGUCAUAGUGAUCCGGUGGUUCUGAAUGGAAGGGCCAUCGCUCAACGGAUAAAAGGUACUCCGGGGAUAACAGGCUGAUACCGCCCAAGAGUUCAUAUCGACGGCGGUGUUUGGCACCUCGAUGUCGGCUCAUCACAUCCUGGGGCUGAAGUAGGUCCCAAGGGUAUGGCUGUUCGCCAUUUAAAGUGGUACGCGAGCUGGGUUUAGAACGUCGUGAGACAGUUCGGUCCCUAUCUGCCGUGGGCGCUGGAGAAUUGAGGGGGGCUGCUCCUAGUACGAGAGGACCGGAGUGGACGCAUCACUGGUGUUCGGGUUGUCAUGCCAAUGGCAUUGCCCGGUAGCUAAAUGCGGAAGAGAUAAGUGCUGAAAGCAUCUAAGCACGAAACUUGCCCCGAGAUGAGUUCUCCCUGACCCUUUAAGGGUCCUGAAGGAACGUUGAAGACGACGACGUUGAUAGGCCGGGUGUGUAAGCGCAGCGAUGCGUUGAGCUAACCGGUACUAAUGAACCGUGAGGCUUAACCUU